GCGUGCGCAGGCGGUUAUAUAAGACAGAUGUGAAAUACCCCGGGCCUCAACCUGGGAACUGCAUUUGUGACUGUAUAGCUGGAGUGCGGCAGAGGGGGAUGGAAUUCCGCGUGUAGCAGUGAAAUGCGUAGAUAUGCGGAGGAACACCGAUGGCGAAGGCAAUCCCCCUGGGCCUGCACUGACGCUCAUGCACGAAAGCGUGGGGAGCAAACAGGAUUAGAUACCCGAGU
rnacentral:rRNA from 1 species